CCCAAAAUCCAUUUCUCCCUUAUCUUUUCUUGACUACACCAGAAGGUUCAGCUCUAAUUCUCCUUUCCCUAAUCUUUUUUCUUUGUUCUUAUUUCCUUCUUCUGCCCUUGUUCCCACAUGGCAGCACCUUACCUCUCACCAACAGCCCUCCCUCUCUCACCGAAACCAUAUAUCUUUCUCUAAGAAGGAAUCAAACUCUUACUAAAGUUUCAACUUCAGUUGUGGGUGUUACCAAUUCUCAAGUCUAAACUCCUUCGAUUGUAGGCUUUCAAUUUCUCUCCUUUCAGUCAACAGAUUUUAUUUUGGAGCAGAGGGAGCCUUAGUCAAGUUUUGGAAGGAGAUGGUUUUAGUUUUAAAAGUAGGAAUCCCAAUUUAGCAAUUUGAUGUUUAGCUUUGUAGUAUUGUUUAUUUUAGGAUCUAAUGAAAGUGUGUAUCUUAAAGUAUUAAGAGAUGUAUUAUGUGAAAUUCCGAAUUUGAAUAACUGGUGGAUUAUGUUAACUUUGAGUAUAGUAUAGACGCUCUGAAUAUCAAGUGAUAAGUUAUAUCAAGAAGUAAA